GUUGGAGCGGCGGAGGUGGAGGAGCAGUUGUCCGCACUCUGGGGUGCACUCAGGGUGAGCGGAACCCCGUGGACUGUGGGGGAAGAGGCGGGUAGUAGAUCCAGAGUCACAACUCGUCUGGGGGCUUUUUAGCGUGAGGCAGCCAUGUGAUCCCCAUGUGGCAGCACUGAGGAUACAUAGCCUGUGUGUGACAGCUGACCUCUGAGGGCUCGGGAAGAGACACAGGGAAGGACCAGGACUGGUUUUUAUGAUUGUGUCCCUCAUGCCUCCCCCCUCUCCCAAGGCAGGCUCUUGUUGCCCCUUCUCCCUCUCUAAAGUUAUGGGGUAUACCAGCCACAGAUGCUUCAGGAGGCCAGCAUCCCUCUUACACCAUUUAUUCUUGUCUUCUCUUCCCCAAGUCCUCAUUCCUAGGCUCCUGUGUCUUUUGGGAGUGAAACACAUCCCUGGGAAGCUGACAGGAAGAUGGGCAACCAGCUCGGUGUGGGUGGGAAUCUUGCUUCUCUAAGGGAAGGGGCUCCGUGACCCAGUGAGCUGUUAGGGAACUGGGCCUGCUCCGCCCAGGAGCUCCACAAAGGAGAAACCACUACCACCCAUCCCACUGAAAAAACGGCAGAUGCUAGCUAGCUGCCUUUGAUCAAGGGUGGGAACUGGUGAUCACAGCUCAAGUCCAGGGUCCAAGUACCACUGCAUUAAAAGGCAUCUGGCCCUUUAAAAACUGGAGCUUGCCUUCUGUGCGUGAGCAUCUGCGUGUGAGCGUGAGUUCCUGGCUGCCUGGGAGGACGCCACGGGGAGGGCAUUGAAGUGAAUCCAGGUGGCCCCAGGGAUGGGUGGCCUCCCUUUCUUCCCCCACCCACCCCCCUGUGUAUCCUCUGGGUAUCUUGAAGGCUGCAGCCUGACGCAUGGGGUCUAGGGAGUGAGGGACUUCACGCCCUUGUGAGAUGGUGGGCGGGGAGAGGGGCUUCUUUUUCUGAUAGGCCCCUUUUACCACUCAUUCUGUCCUUCUUUCUUUCAGGUGGCACAAGACUUGAAAUUGCUUUGAAGGUGAGGACAUCCCCUCCCCCACCGCCAGCCACCACCACCAGCCACCUACAUCGUCCUCAUCAGCCCCUCCCCAUCAGUGCCUCCACCAACAUCACCCGGCCUGACUCCUGCUUCACUUGGUGUAAAUGGCUGAUAAGCAGAUCAGGUCAGAGGGACCCCAAUCCCUGGGCUUUUGGUCUUGGCUUUUGGUCACCCCCCCUCUCCAGCAUGACCUCCCUAUCCCCCUGUCCUGUGGGUGAGGAUGUUAAUCCUGACACUUGACCCUGCACACACAGCCUGCCGGCCAAGCUCAUCAAUGGUGGCAUCGCUGGGCUAAUCGGGGUCACCUGCGUGUUCCCCAUCGACCUGGCUAAGACACGGCUGCAGAACCAGCAGAAUGGCCAGCGCAUGUAUGCCAGCAUGUGAGUGAGAGCUGCCUAGGAGGGGUGAGGGUGCAGCUGCCACCUUUUAUCUCUGCUCCUGCACCCCUGAAUUUGAUGAAGGGGGAACAACACAGGGCAGACCUGAGAAAGAUUCCCCCACCCUACCCUGACCCUGACAGAGUCUUUGGCUUCUCUGUCAGCCUUGGAUGAGCAUAGUGGGUAGAGACAACACUGGCUGCCCUUGCCUGACUCGGGGCCAGGGUCCAGCUGGCCACCACUUAUUGCUGUCCCCUUGACUACAGGUCUGAUUGCCUCAUCAAGACCAUCCGCUCCGAGGGCUACUUCGGCAUGUAUAGGGGUGAGGCCUGGGAAUGGGUGACAGAUGGGUCUGGCUGGGAGCAGGGACAAGGGAUGCAUGUCUGGGCUUGGUCUGUAAGUAUAGACGUGUGAUACUGGUAGCACCUGAGCACAGUGGGGGCACCUGCCAUCCCCUCAUGCUGGGGGGACUGGAUGUCUGGGGGGAUAGUUCUUCUGCAGGGUGGCAGGUCUCAAACCUCACCUGAAACACCCUGCUGUCUUCUACUGGUACAGCAGGACAGAGGUUGUUUCUUUUUCUCUAUUGUAGUGGCUUAGGUCUCCUCCACUACUUUCUGUGACAGGCAGGACCACAUCUGUGCCUAGAGACCAGGGGCAUUAAACAAAGCAGCUUAGGAAACAAUCCCUGAGGGUGGAUUUGCCCAGAUGCUGUGUAGCCCUGAGCCCUCAGCUCUGAUCAGCCAUCCACAGCCUUCUCUGAGCCCUGACCCAUACUGUAGUCCUGCCAGUGGGAGCACCUGUCCCCAGGAGGGAGGACCCCCCCACAUAGUCUUUGGAGGCUUGCUCCUCAUUGCCUCUCAGGAGAGACCUGUUCUGCCAAAGCCAGAGACAGAUGGAGGUGGAAUGCUGGGGAGGGAGGACACAGCGCCACCCCAUCCCGCCUGGUUCCCCCGCCUGCCUGGCACAAAACAAGCCCAUAUGUGGGUGAGAGGGCAGGAGGCUGCAGCCAAGGAGUGCCAGGCAGGGCUUUGCCAGUGUGGAGCAAAGUGCUCUCCCAAAGCUUCCCUAACCCAAGCUACCCAGCGAGUCUGUCCCCACCCGACCUACCUGUGUCCCCCAAGCCUUAGCUGACCCUCAGAUGCCCCACAGGAGCAGCAGUAAACCUGACCCUGGUCACCCCGGAGAAGGCCAUCAAGUUGGCAGCUAAUGACUUCUUCAGACACCAGCUCUCUAAGGAUGGGUGAGAGGCUCGGCCACGCUGGCUGCUGGGGCCCAGGUCCUAAGGAAGGGUGUGUUGCUAACCCCACCCAUCACGCCCCAGAAGUCCCCUAGACUGAAAACAGACCCCAGAGGCUCUUCUACCUCGGUCCCUUUGCGCACCAUCUCUGACCUUGUGGGGGCGGGUGCUUGCCUGCUGCCCACGUGAGGAGGUGCAAGGCAGCUGCUGAGUCAGCAGCUGUUGGCCCCUAGCCACCAUCUGCUGCCAGAAUUUGGGGGCAUGAAGCAGUUACCCCAUGACUGGACUGUGGGGCUGCAAGGUUGGCCCCUUCUCUUCCCCAUUUCUCUUUAUGAGCCCUUACGUGUGAGACCAUCUGUCCUUUGGGCUGGACGCCUGUUGCUGGAGAGUCUGGAGCCCGAGGUUGUGCCCCUGUGGGACCUCCACAGUUCCCAUCCCCCUUUACACCAGUGAAUCAGACUGUCCCUGCCCCAUGUAGGGAGUUGUUUCUCAUCACCUCAAUCAUAGUCCUGCCCCCGCUCUAUAGACAGAAGCUGACCUUGCCUAAGGAGAUGCUGGCAGGCUGCGGGGCCGGCACCUGCCAGGUGAUUGUGACCACCCCCAUGGAGAUGCUGAAGAUCCAGUUGCAAGAUGCAGGCCGCAUUGGUAAGGUGCAGGGAGGGGACAGAGCCUGGGUGGGGACAACAGCUAGACCCUGUCCCCUGCCCCUUCCCCAAGCCAGGAGGAAGAGACCAGAGAUCCUUUCUCACCAGCUGCUCAGAGGAAGAUUCUGGCUGCCCAGGCUCAGCUCUCAGCCCAGGGAGGUGCCCAGCCCUCGGUAGAGGCUCCAGCCCCUCCUCGGCCCACGGCCACCCAGCUGACCCGUGACCUGCUGCGGAAUCAUGGCAUUGCUGGCCUCUACAAGGGACUGGGGGCCACGCUACUCAGGUGGAGAGACGGGCGUAUGGGGGGAGGAGGUCUGCCUGCUGGUUCCUCCCCUCCCACCAGCAUCACUCUUCCCUCCCCACAGGGAUGUUCCCUUCUCCAUUGUCUACUUCCCCCUGUUUGCCAACCUGAAUCAGCUGGGCCGCCCAUCCUCUGAGGAGAAGUCGCCUUUCUAUGUGUCCUUCCUAGCAGGCUGCGUGGCUGGGAGUGCAGCCGCUGUGGCCGUCAACCCUUGUGAUGGUCAGUACUUGGGUGUGGGCCCCACCGGUGGAUGGUGGGAUAGGAGCCCCCACGGUGACUCAUAUGUCCCUUGUAGUGGUGAAGACUCGGCUCCAGUCCCUUGAGAGAGGUGUUAAUGAGGACACUUACUCUGGGUUUCUGGACUGUGCAAGGUGGGCCAGGUCCCAUGAGCUGGGACAGGGCUGGGACGGGGCUGGGAUGGGGCUGGUCGGGCACCAUUUCUGACCUUUUCCUCCCUUUCAGGAAGAUCUGGAGACAUGAAGGUCCCUCAGCCUUCCUGAAAGGCGCAUACUGCCGUGCGCUGGUCAUUGCCCCGCUGUUUGGCAUCGCCCAGGUGGUCUACUUUCUGGGCAUUGCCGAGUCCCUGCUGGGGCUGCUGCAAGAACCCCAGGCCUGAGCCCAUGGCUGCUUCUCUCCAGCCUAUGGGCAGGGGCCAGAACAGGGUGACCAGCACAAGCCUGAGGAGGAGUGGUCUCUCCCCGGUCCUCCUCAUUAAGAUGGGAAGGCAAGGGGAGGGUGCAGGGUCCACAUGGGUGAUGCACACAUAAGCCCCUGUGUGGUCCUGAAGGGACAACAAAUUGGGAUCAAGGUCUUAUUUAUGUAGAAAAUGCAGAAAUCUGUACAUUCCUCAAGCCAGUUCUGUCCCAUCCUUGUACCUCAACCCAGUCCCACCUGGCCUGAACACCCCAUGAGACAGAGCUGGUCUCUGGGCUGGGGCCCCCAGGCCUGGUUUGGGCAGGCAGACCCUACCCUGUAGUCCACUGGCUCUGGUCUCUGAGGCUCUCCUGGUCUACAUAGGGGACCCACACACACCCAGAAUUAUUUAUUGAAUUUUCCGUGCCCAUGUGGCUCUCCUGUCCUCCGUCCAUCAGUCUUUGCCCCUGCUGCUCUUCCCACCUCAUCCAGGACCCCACUCUGCCUCCCCAGCCAGCCUUACAGGAGGCCUGGAGGGUCUUAGCCUCAUGUCAAGCUAGGAUUCCUAGGCUGGGUAUGUUGCCGUAAUCAGGUGUCAUCCCAGGCACCCCACACAUCCACUUCCCGCUGAGCCUUUGGACCCCCACCAUGUGGGACCCAGGUUGCUUGAGGUCUUUGUGUGCCUGCGGUGGGCAGUUGCUCCCCCACCCCCAGCAGUCAGCUGGCCAGGCUGCUUAGGGAUGGGGACCCAUAAGGGUACAGCUGCCUUUUCCCGUGGAGUCAGCCACCCUGUGCUUGUGUGCUGUUUGUGCCUCAGGACUCUUCUGCUGACCCCGUCCAAUAAUUUAGUUCUCCAGCUUGGUGACUCUUCUGAUAGAGCCCUACUCCUGGACAGAGAUUGCUUUUGGGAGGUGGAGUGGGGGCUUGAAGGUCAGGCAUGAAGGCCAGUUUAGCGUCUGGGCCUCCCAGCUCUCUGGGCCUCUGUCCAUGUUUGGAAAGCCCCACCCCUACAGCCCUGGAUCCUCUGUUCAGAAUCAAAGCAGCCCUUCCCUGCCCCGGCCAUGUGAUUGUGUUUGGUGAUUGACUGAAGUGCUGGUGCUGUGUCCCUCAAGCCCAACCCCCUCCAUGGAGGCCCCUUCCCAGUGACACUACCUGGGGCUCCAGUCUGGGCUGCCCCUAGUUCACCGUUGCUCCUGGGAGCCACCCCUCCUCUUACGUCUGUACCUUGAAAGCUGCUGCUGCUGCUUACAGAAUUAUAUUUUUUUCUUUUGAAGAGUUUUAAGAAGUUGUAACUUUUUGUGUCUUGUCAUGUAAAAAAUAAAUAAAUAUUCUAAAU
rnacentral:lncRNA from 1 species